UGCUCCUUAGACUGCUGAUUCCUGUGAUGCAGUUCCGUUGAGUCUGACU
rnacentral:snoRNA from 1 species